UGGCCUACGGGAGGCAGCAGUGGGGAAUAUUGCACAAUGGGGGAAACCCUGAUGCAGCGACGCCGCGUGAGUGAAGAAGUAUUUCGGUAUGUAAAGCUCUGUCAGCAGGGAAGAAAAUGACGGUACCUGACCAAGAAGCCCCGGCUAACUACGUGCCAGCAGCCGCGGUAAUACGGAGGGGGCAAGCGUUAUCCGGAUUUACUGGGUGUAAAGGGAGCGUAGACGGCAGGGCAGGGCUGGAGUG
rnacentral:rRNA from 1 species